rnacentral:lncRNA from 1 species
GCAAUUGUUAAAACAUCAACUGUUAUGAGAGAAAUCAUGAACCUAGAAUAAAUGAGUAUUUAAGUAGAUAUUCAACAUUUUCAGCUAAUACUUAAAUAUUCUUGAAACUAGAUGUCACGACCCGGUACUCCCUUCGAGCCCGUGACAACCGCAGCGGUGUCUCGAUCGACACUCAUUAUCCGAAAUGUCAACCCAAACCUUGCAAGGCUUUAAUAUCAGUUUC